UCGAGAAUCUUUCACAAUGGGGGCAACCCUGAUGGAGCGACGCCGCGUGGAGGAUAAGGUCUUCGGAUUGUAAACUCCUGUCAUGCGAGAGCAAAACAGCCGGGGUAACUCCCGGCUGCUUGAUCGUAUCGCAAGAGGAAGAGACGGCUAACUCUGUGCCAGCAGCCGCGGUAAUACAGAGGUCUCAAGCGUUGUUCGGAAUCACUGGGCGUAAAGGGUGCGUAGGCGGCGUGGAAAGUCAGAUGUGAAAUCCGCGGGCUCAACCCUCGAAUCGCAUCCGAAACUCCCAUGCUAGAGUACUGAAGGGGAGCUUGGAAUUCUCGGUGUAGCAGUGAAAUGCGUAGAUAUCGAAAAGAACGCUCGUGGCGAAGGCGAAGCUCUGGUCAGUAACUGACGCUGAGGCACGAAGGCCAGGGUAGCAAACGGGAUUAGAUACCCCCGUAGUCC
rnacentral:rRNA from 1 species